GUUAUGGGUAUAAGGGCUUUUGAAAAUAAGGCGUGGUCCAUUACGAACGAUUUUCAAUAACUUUCGUACUUAGGCAAAUCGGUGUAUAAAAUUUCAACAAAAUGUUCUAAAAAUUGCCGACAAAAAAAAAAAAAGCGGACAGACGCACAGGCGGGUAGGAGGAGGAAGGACCGACAAGAUUUGUUGGAUUCAUAUUUUAAAUUAAUCGGCAUAGUGAAAGGUGAAUCUAUCUCAAAUCAUUCUGUAAUAGGGUGGCAUUAGUAUUAAGAUACAAGAAGUGAAAUUCUUGGACCGUUGUAAGAUUCACUUAAGUAAAAGCAUAUGCCAAAAGCGAAAUUUAGAGGUUCAAAGGCGAUCAGAGACCGUUCUAAUUUUAAGCACAAACGAUACGAAAGUUAGAUGUUCAGAGGCGAUCAGAUACCGUUUUAGUUUCGACCGUAAACGAUAUCAACUGCGACUGGACGUAAUGAUUACUAUGGCUCUCUUGGUCGCUUGUUGGGAAACCAAAUCUUUUGGGCUCCG
rnacentral:ncRNA from 1 species